GAUGAAGAACGCAGCGAAAUGCGAUAAGUAAUGUGAAUUGCAGAAUUCAGUGAAUCAUCGAAUCUUUGAACGCACAUUGCGCCCGCCAGUAUUCUGGCGGGCAUGCCUGUCUGAGCGUCAUUUCAACCCUCAUGCCCCUAGGGCGUGGUGUUGGGGAUCGGCCAAAGCCCGCGAGGGACGGCCGGCCCCUAAAUCUAGUGGCGGACCCGUCGUGGCCUCCUCUGCGAAGUAGUGAUAUUCCGCAUCGGACAGCGACGAGCCCCUGCCGUUAAACCCCCAACUUUCCAAGGUUGACCUCAGAUCAGGUAGGAAUACCCGCUGAACUUAAGCAUAUCAAUAAGCGGAGGA
rnacentral:misc_RNA from 1 species